UCUCCCUCUCUCAAUCAAGCGCUCGUGGGCACAACAAAGAAAAGUGGCAAGCUUCUCUCUCUCUCUCUCAUUUUGAAUAAUUAGGGUUUUGCAUUUAGUUUGUGAGAAGGAAAUCUUUUGUUUAAAGAACUACAAUCUGUUUAAUUUAGCGUUUUUAUCUCGAAAUUUUUUAGCUCUCAUUUUAAAGUAUAGUUUCUAUCUCAGAAUGUUGAUAUCUCACGUGAAGUCAGAGUUUUCACCUAAAAAAAGUUGAGCUAUCACUUUGAUUAGGGUUUUCGCUUCAAAUUCUUCAUCUCUCAAUGCAAACUAGGCUUUUUGCCUCAAAAAGUUGAUCUCUCACUCAAAGUUAGGGUUUCCGCCUCAAAAGCUUGAUUUUUCAUUUGAAUUAGGGUUUCACUUUAAAAUCUCGAUCUCUCACUUGAGAUCAGGGUUUUUGCAUCAAAAAAUUUUAAUUUUCAAUUAAAAUCAAGGAUUCCGGCUCAAAAGACGGUCUCAUUUCGAAUCAUCCUUUUUUAUAAAAUAUUAAUUGAAUGUUGUGCUUUCAUUUAUUUUUUUAAUAGACAUUUUUACAAUAAGAUUGGUCAGGUGGUCAGUUCAUGAUUUUCAUAUAUACUCAUGCAUACUUGGAAGCAGCGAAGUUGAAGGAUAUUAUGAUGAUUCGAAAUAAGUGAUUCCCAGCAGACGGCCAUCUCGAUAAUGGACAGUGUAUAGUUCUGUGAACUCUUAGCCCUUUCACAAACUAUUUUUGGUUGGAUCAAUGUGUAUCAUUUCAGACCUUUUAUUAAUUUGUCAACAAGCAUAACAAAGUGAUUUCCUCAACAAGGAAUUGAUACUUUUCUUAUAGAGGAUUUGCAAUGGUCUAAUUCAUGGUUGAUGGACUAAACGUGGUCAAAGUAGAUGCUGUUCUGCACUUUCAAACACAACUUUGCUAGGAAGCUCAGACCUUUUUCUGGUCCAAUGAUGGUUCCAGUUUUAGAUGACAAACUGCAAUUGAAAAAGCUUCUCAUUGCAGGAUUGUGCUGAGACCUUGUCUGAAGGCGUUCUAUAUUAUGCAAUGGAAUCCCGUGUUUCCUUUUUCUACAUGAGGUUGUGCUCUGUAAAAGCAAAAGAAAAGAAUCAGAGAGCUUGGAGGAUGAGGAAGAAAAUAGAGUUUGUUGCUGCAAAUAAAUCCCUAUUUGAUUCCGAUGAGAAAUCCAAGUCAGGAAAAAUACUUCCAAAGGCUGCAGGGGGGUGGUGAAUGACUCUUCGAGGGUCACUGGAGGAAGAUGCCAAGGAUGUUGCCAAUUUUGGAAGUGCUGAUGUUGCCAUGGAGUCAAUUAGAGACUACUUAAAUGGGUGGUAAGGACAGCGGGCAGUAAGCAAAGAGGCUGCAUCACCGCUAUUACUUUGUGCAAGAAGCUGAUUUUACCAGUCAGGGAAGUCAUCACCACAGGCUGUCAUUAGCCCUUACCAUCAGGAGAGGCUGGCUAACCCAGCGUAUUAGGCUACUUCAGCAAUUUCAGUCCAGAAGUCAGUUGAUCCUUUGUGUUAAACAAUGAGAGGCAAAAAGAAAUUCUCUAGCUUGCAAGAAAGAGAAUACACAUUCGAAGCAUAGCGAGGAGAGUUUCAAGACAUUAGAUCGGGUCAGAUAUUUUGAGGCAGAGAGAUAACCCGAUCGAGGGAUAACAGAGGAAGUUUGAGCUGAAGAAGACUCACAUUGAGAGCAAGCCGGCGAUGAAUGUUGUAGUGCUCAACAGCCAAAGCAAGAAUGAAGCUACCAAGAACAAGGGCAAUUAUAUCAUCC